rnacentral:rRNA from 1 species
CCGAAGCGUUUAUGACCAGACCUGGGCUUGGUUAAUCAUCUGGGGUUCUCCCCAGUGCACUUUUCCAGUCCAGGCCAGCAUCAGUUUUCCCCGGGGGAUAAAGACUUCGGGAAUGUGGCUCUCUUCGGGGAGUGUUAUAGCCCGUUGUGUAAUACCCUGGGGGGGACUGAGGUUCGCGCAUCUGCAAGGAUGCUGGCGUAAUGGUCAUCAACGACCCGUCUUGAAACACGGACCAAGGAGUCGUCUUCGUAUGCGAGUGUUCGGGUGUCAAACCCCUACGCGUAAUGAAAGUGAACGCAGGUGAGAGCUUCGGCGCAUCAUCGACCGAUCCUGAUGUUCUCGGAUGGAUUUGAGUAAGAGCAUACGGGGCCGGACCCGAAAGAAGGUGAACUAUGCCUGUAUAGGGUGAAGCCAGAGGAAACUCUGGUGGAGGCUCGCAGCGGUUCUGACGUGCAAAUCGAUCGUCAAAUAUGGGCAUGGGGGCGAAAGACUAAUCGAACCUUCUAGUAGCUGGUUUCCGCCGAAGUUUCCCUCAGGAUAGCAGUGUUGAACUCAGUUUUAUGAGGUAAAGCGAAUGAUUAGGGACUCGGGGGCGCUAUUUAGCCUUCAUCCAUUCUCAAACUUUAAAUAUGUAAGAAGCUCUUGUUGCUUAAUUGAACGUGAGCAUUCGAAUGUAUCAACACUAGUGGGCCAUUUUUGGUAAGCAGAACUGGCGAUGCGGGAUGAACCGAACGCGAGGUUAAGGUGCCAGAGUAGACGCUCAUCAGACCUCACAAAAGGUGUUAGUACAUCUUGACAGCAGGACGGUGGCCAUGGAAGUCGGAAUCCGCUAAGGACUGUGUAACAACUCACCUGCCGAAUGUACUAGCCCUGAAAAUGGAUGGCGCUCAAGCGUCUCACCCAUACCUCGCCCUCAGGGUAGAAACGAUGCCCUGAGGAGUAGGCGGACGUGGAGGU